GUGUGAUUUCGGCAGUGUGCGUGGUGUGAGAUAGCAGCUUCCCUCGGCGCUGUAUCUCCGUAAGUGGCAGAGACACGAAAACAGACACAGAAUGCUGCAAACAGACUGAUUUAGCCUUCCUGCCCCUUCAUUCACAGCAACUUCAAUGAAUGCAGAACGAGCUGUUAGAUCAGCACCGUCUGACAUCAGUGACACCGGCAAUACACAUAGCAAACCAUACAGAGCACGAUAUAAAUGCCCUUAAAAGCGCUUGGUUUCAACCAGUUCUUAUGCAUGUGCAAAUACAAGAGGUGAUCUGUUCAUGUGUGCUGGCUUACAUAAAUGCAGAUCCUACAUACAAGCUGCAUAUCCAUCGCUGCUUAAAACCACCCACAGCAUCACAUUGUGAGAAAGUGAUCUGGAAGGAAAAUAUCUUUAUCUUACCUCUGUAUUGGCACAAGGAGUGAGGAGAGGGGACAGUGAUAUAAAGUGAUGGCUUCCAAGGCGCUGUGUUGCCCUGCAUCCUUCCUAGCAAGGAUGUGUAAUUAGCCAGUGUCCAGAUAAGGAUUUCUUGCCAGCGUGCCUGCACCUCACAGGACAGUUCUGACCAAAUAUUGAUGAGUUAGAUCUGAUGCCCUAGUUUAGGUACAAGAAUUGGUUACUCCAUGCUCAUAUUACAUUUAUCCUUUUUUAUCAGCAGGAUUAAUCUGUGUUGCCAAAUGUUGCUUGAAUACAGUUACAUCACUUCUUGGACCACUGCAUCACACUGCACGUAUGUAGAUAUGCUCUAACUGUACCAACAACAAAAUGGUCAUGGUUCAUAGUUGGUUCCUUCUGUUAUGUACUCUGUAUGUCAUUAUUGGUUUCCUUUUUUGAGCUUGUUUCCAAAAAGGCUCAUAGAAAAGUAUUUAGGCACAGCAGAACCAUGGCCUGUGCAAUUAGAGGUUGGCAGUGUAUAAAAAAAAGCAGUCCAACUGGUUAACAGGCAGAAAUGUAGCUAGGAAAGUAGAGUUUGCAUUCUACCUAAUGUCGGUGAACUCUUGGUGUUCUCUAGGAUUCACUAUUCCUGCUACAGACUGACAACUCCGCUUUUCUUGUUUCUCUCUCAUCCAUUGAGAACGGAGGAUUUAAUUCUUCCCAUUCUUUUAUAUCUUUUGAACAUAGACACAAGUGCUCAGUGAACUUUGGGACAAGAAUGGCUGAACUGAGGACUGCUCCAGAGCUGUUUCUCCUCCAGAGAAGAAUUUCCUUUACAGUCACUGUCCUGCACAAAACUGAUGCAUUGGAAUCAAUACCUGAUCAUGCUGGCAUCAUUUCAUACUGGCAAAGUGCCUGAUGAGACUCCAGUUGGGACCACCAAACUCACUGCGCUCAUUACCUCAGCUGGUUUCAAACGGGGGCAUUCAUUCUUCCUCCUACGGUACUAUUUCAUUCCUCUUAAAUUGGGGCUAUUAAAAUGUUUCAGCCAUUUCAUGUUACUAAAACGUAUUAAAAUGCUGCAAAAAUGCUGCAUCAAAGUGGAGAGGUUUGAAAACUGCAGCUCUGUGAUAGGAUAAUGCAGUUUAAAUAUAGUAACUGUUUGGGUUUGGUUUUUUUUUCCCAGUCAGCUUGCUCUUUGAUUUCAUGGCAUUAUGUCUAGGGAUUUUUUCCCCUCUCUCUCUUUAAGAAGCUUACAGCUUAAACAGCAACAUGCAAAAAAUACAGGGAUGAAACAGUAACAGAAACCCAGUAGAAAAAUCAGUGAUUAAAUAUGGGUUUGAAUGUUGGUAAUUAAGAUAAUCUGAAUUCAUUCUUUAUCAAUUUUUCUUCUUAGGAAAUAUACAUUCCAGAACCAGCAGCAGGUAGAAUUUGUCUACCACAGAGGCUGAGGGACCGUGCAUACAAAGGAUAGUGUUGCUGCUGGGAGAUUUCUAGAACUGGAUCACUGUUCCUGCACAGAACAGCUGCUCGCUGCCUUGGUAGAGCAGAAGAGACGGUGAGCCAGAUUCUGGCCUCAGUGACAAUAAGAGAUGGUAGUUUGGCUUGGCAGAUUUCUUCUCUUAUUUCUUUGUCCUAUUGAUAGUUACUUAGUUUAUCACUGAAGACUCCGUUAGAAUAUUUGCCACAAUCAUCUCCAUUUCCCUGUUUGGAAAAAUCUUUCUCUCUAUCCCAAUACUGACGUCAGUAGGGGAUCUAAAAGUAUGGGAGAGAGCAACAUUUUUAUCAGAACCAAAAUCCAUCCGACAUAUCUGAAAAAAUAAUAUUAUCCUUAUCUGAUGGCCAAGUCAUUUCUCUUAAAGGGAAAUCAGCUUCACUGCUAUCUUAAAAAUGCACAACAACUUUAGAUACAAAGCACUGGUUGGUGCCCACGAGAUUUGAAUUAUGUUCUCAUCCUGACCUGAAUUUUCCAUCUAAUUAAGGUCUAAUUCUAAUUAAUUUGGCAGCUAGCUGCCAUUUUUUUUUCCUUUGUAAAUAUCCCUUGUGAGCUUCUAGAUCUCAGUUUUACUAUCUGUAGAAGUGGCUAGGGAUACUACCAAGCUUGUAAGGAUAUGCAGGGUCAGCCACAGUACUGAUGGAAUGGCAGAGCUUGUUGUUAGGAAGGUGUUACAAAACUGACCUAUACUUUAUGUCUGUAAUGAGCUGACUGUUGUGGUCAUGCUGCAUUUUACCUGUAGGCAAUAAAAGUUGCAUUAUUUUGCCAUAGAGUUCGGGCCACACUUGCAGAGGUUGCUUUGGUUUUGAAGCCUGCAGUCAGCAGUCUCUGGCAUUUAGGAGAACAGUGCCUCAAGGUGGACACACAAAUGCACCAGACAGCCCCAUUCCUCAAAGUAUUAAGACAGUUACUUUGGAUGAUUUUCUUUUUGUGGUUCUUGAAUACAUUAGCAACGCUACCAUAGCAUUCAGAGCUUACCUUUCACUCUGUUGAACAUGUAUUUAUGGAGACAGAACCAGUCUUGUACACUGAAAGGAAAAGAGAAUGGAAAUCACUCAUCCACAGUUUUUUUUUUGUCUGGUCCUGCCUGUGAUAGGAAGCAUGAAGGAAAGAAGGAUGUCUGAAAAGUACGCAGUUAACACUUCUCAUAUGUUCCUAUCAGAAUGUUCAUAAUGAUGCUUAUGUUAGCCUGUGAGCAGCAACAGCAACCAGAAUGUUGCUCACUGAUGCCAGUGUUUUGUCUUUUCACUUUCUAUUUACUCCAGCUUUGUCUAGUAAAAGCCUAAUAUUAAAGUGAUCUGAAUUACUUGUUUUUAAAACUUCCUUUUUUUGCAUUUCUUGACCAUAUGAUAAACUAUAGUCAAGGUGGUGGUAUAAACAAUAUAUAUUGUUAUUGUUCUUUGUAGUACUGUACCAUGAGGAGUUCCCCCAUGCAAUGCAUAGCUAUCAUUUCAUAUAUUUACUGAAUCAGUUAUUCCUAUGGCUUUUCAAAAUGGAAAGGGUAACAUCCUUAUGCUCUCCAUGUAGGUGAGUAGCAAUGUGAGGCUGGAAAGCUUUACAUAGUCAUGGAGAUGACCUGAUUUUCAGCCAUUGUUUCAGACAAAUGGCACAUGACUUAUUUAGACUUGUGACAUUUUCUGAUAUGACACAAGCUGAAGUACCUUUCUGUGUUUGGUGCUGAAGAUUUAAUCCAAACUCGUUAAAAUACCAAAGUAACACACUUUAGUUUUCAUUCGAUACUCUUAAGGAAGCUCUUUUAUUAGUUACACAAUAUCUUUAUGUUGACCUUUUUUGUCUCCUGUAACACAAGGCAAAAUCAGAGAUUGAAACCAAAUCAUCUGUUUGGAUUACCAGUUAAAUCUGCAUCACCCAAAACAGUGUUGGGCUUUGUUUUUAAAAAUGCACUGUUUCUUUGGUAGGAGUAAUGGAUGCAAUUGCAUUCCAUCUGUCACCUUCCCCUACCUUUGUCUUUACAUCAGCGUCCUGAGGUGGGAAGAAAAGAGAAGCUGUAGAACUGCCUUCAUUUUCUGUUACUGUGACUAACCAAAUCUGAAUGCAUUUUGCUUUAGUGGAAUUACUGCUGUGUUGAUCUUUCGUGUCUCUUAUUUCUGCUAUUCAAUACAAUCUAUAUAGGUAUUUCACAAAAAUGGCAUGUUGUGGAAAGGGCAAUUCAUUAAUCUCUCAGAACUGAAGGUUUCCAACAUAUCAGAUCUGUUUUUCUGUUUAUUAUACAUAGAUCUCUUUGGUGGUUUGUCAAUGGUGUUACAUGCAAAUUCAGAUCAUCCUGACCUACAAUACUUGUUUUACUUAAAGGCUCCAGAUUUCUAAAAGAUUGUUUGACUCUUGGGUGGUUUUUUUGUGUUUCUUUUUUUUUCCCCCAGCUCAGUUAAAAAAGAAAACCUCUCCUGAGUCAUAUUUUAAAAAUACUGUUAAGCUCUAAAGCUGCUUCUGCUCCUAUGUCACAAAGCAUUAUUGAAAAGAUAUUCAUUUCUGCCUCCUACAAUUGCUCAGACAGAGAGCUUCACACAGAUUCUUUUCCACUCAUGUUGCAACUAUGCUGGCAGCAUCCUUGUUUCCUAGAAGUGUUACAACGAUCUUCCAGAUAUGAACAGGUUGGGCUUAUUAUUAUUUUUUAGAACCAUGCUAUCAAGCUUAUAAUUUAAUAUCAAUAACAUUAUCAAACAUUAUUUUUUAAUCAUCAAUAAUCGUGCUGAUACUCCGAUUACUACUAUCUUAUUCAUUGCUUUCAUUUGAACAUUGUAAUCAAGGAUCUCAGGCAUUUCAAAGACCAUCAUGAAAAUUGCAUUACACAAUAUCCCUGAGAGAACAGUAAAUAUUAUCAUCCCCGUUUCACAGAAGCAGGAGCUGAGGUUCAAAGUCACAAAAUCUAUGGCAGAACUAGAAAUAGAAAUAAGUCUCCUGGCUCUCAGUCCUGUUCUUUCUCCAGUCACCUAAAUAGUCUCUAGUAUAGCUUUGUAAGACAUUUAACACUUCAUUUCCAAAAAUGUCAUCCUCUUCGUUAGGGAAGCUAAAAUUAUAUAUGUUUAAAGAUCAGAUAAAGGAGAAUACCUCAUUUUCGGAUGAGACUGCUGAAAUGAUUCUAGCUGUUUUAUGGACAAUGCCAUCCAAGUUUUGUGAGUUAAUCCUGACCCUAAGUACACCUAAAAUAGAUAUCUGCCUCCAGCUAAUCAACAGGCUUAUGAAGAUCGCCUCAAUAAUUUAUGUAUAACCAACUAGUGGAAACUAGAUCUUCUGUGAUUUCCCUAGAUACAUAUUCUGCAUGUAUCAUGUAUAUCCUUGCCUAUUUCUGAUAUUCAUUUGAAAUUCAGUUGGGACAUUUCAGAACACUAGAACUCCAGCUGCACAGCUCUAAGAAAAAGCCAUGUGGAGACAUAACACAGUACCUUUGAAGCAGGCAAAAUGAUAUUUUAAAUCCAAGAGCACCGUAGAUGAAAAGUCCAAUUUUUUUGUUAACACACAUAUAACCCACAGUUAUAUUUCUACCUCUGUCACUGGCCUACUUGGAUGAGCAUUUUGUUUCUGAGUGCCCUAUUUCUACAGUAAAAAUAAUGACAUUUAACUGCUGCAUUCAUAGAUAAUAUGGUGAUAUGCAAACAGAUAGACGUGAGGUAUGGGAGGAUGAUUAAAUGAAAUUAAAAAAUAAAUCAUCUAAUUUCCUUGUUUACAGCAUAGGAAAUGUGAGAAACAUACGGUAUGUUGUUCAAUGGAGUAGUAAAAUGAAGCUAAGAUUAAAACUUGCUUCGCUGUGGAAAAAACAAAUUUUCUUUUCCAGACUCUGCAAACAGAAAGAAAAACCAUUAGAGACAUUGUCCUACCUUCUUCUGACUGCAAAUUCAAGAAUCAUCAGAUCUGCAGCUGAAAUGGGAGGUACAGUACAAACUGGCUAUUUAGAGUUCAUAAUUGAUAACUUUUAUAAAGAAUCCAUAAUUGGAAAAUAUAUUGUCUGAUAUAUUCUUGGAUAUCAAUUGCUAAAAGACUUGCUCGUGUCUGCUCCCCUGUGCCUGGAAUGCUUUGGACUGUUAACUGUACUUGUUGAGACUAGCUGCAAAAUUCGGGCCAGGCCGUAGCUUCAGUCAUCCACGCAGAAAGUGAAGGGGGAGGAUAAGGCACUCCAGGAAUAAUGCAGGUGUGGCAGAACUUCUGUAGCAGUCACUGAAAGAACAGAGCAAGCUUUGCUGCUGUCCACAUUGACUGACCUGUACAGGUUAGUGCAGCUUUCAGCUGGGGAGUUUAUGGUAGCAUAAACAAAAUUAGAACAAUGCUUCAGUAGCUCUUUAUAUCUGUGUGAAAGGAGUGCAAAUCACUUGUUACAAAUCACGUUGUUUUACACACACCUCUACCCCCUACCACUACUACUUUUAUCAAUCCAAUAAUGUCUGUCUGUUUUCACAGUUAUGUCAACAUGUUCUUCAUAUUUCUGUAUUCUCCUAUUGCACUGGAUCUCUGCACAGCUGAAAUUCCUUCAUGCCUAAGCCUUGGGGCAAUAUGUUGAGUUCACGUACCACUUCCUAGCAUGAAUUUGAUUACCUUUCACAUCUAAGAGUUUUUACAUUUGAAACAUGCCAGAAAAGACCAAGAAGGACAAAUAAGAAUUGCUCUGAGAAUGGUAAAAAUGUGAAUAGUUUCUGGCUUGUAUUUAUGGAGGAUCUGUUUAGGACAUCUGUAGGAAGGGAUCAGCAGAUCUGCUAACUCAUAUUUGCUGUACAAGAACUCAUGGAAAUCCUGCCCUCUCAAAACCUGUGGCUACUCAUCAUCCCUAAGAAAACAUGGAGUCAUGGUUAGCUCUGAAGAGGUCAGGAAGUUGGACUCGAUGAUCUUUGAAGUUCCUUCCCGACCAAACUGUUCCAUUCCAUUCUGUUCCACUGUAUUCUACUAUAUCAUGUUGUCUACAUGAACCUUUUAAACAUUAGACUGCUAUAACCUUCAUGUGUCUGUCCUCUCUCAGGCUGAAUAAAUGUCAAAUGGUACAUUCUGUCCCACUUGUCACAAGUGCUAUUGUAUGUCCACCCUGGAUCCGUAUCAAAUUAGUAUUGAUGAGGGUUUCCAGUCUUUAUUGAAAUACAAUAUAAUGGAGGAUGAAUAGAAACUACAAGUGUGAAAACAGGGCUCAAAUGCUCACUUUUGGAAGCAGCUACAUAAUUUUUGAAGGUCAUUCUCUUACUUCAGAGAUAUUUAAGAUAGUUUUGACAUUUUUAUUAGUAAAGGUUUAUUAGGUUAUUUCAGUUUAUUCUUUGAGGUAUAAACCAGCCAUUGUGGCUUUCACAAGUUUAACUAUGUACAUAUCUGAGAUAAAACUUGUCACUGAUAUACUUCUCAAAACUUCAGGAAAAACUGUACUGUACAUUGAAAUGCCACAGUCUUUGGUCACCCCAGACCUAAAAGUAAAUGAUAUAUAAGAAUCUCCCUUUUCUGAAGGUAUAAUGUUUUCCCUUUAGCUCUGGACUUUACUGGCCUUUCACUUGCCACCAUUGUCAGAAUGAUGAGCAUUUGUUGGCUUGCAAGGCAGUAUCAUUUCAGAAGAAAUUCCACUUGUAAUGGAGAAAGCAAACAUUUCUGUGAGGUAUAUAUACAGUUACUUACAUGAGAAGUGCUUGAAUAAAGAAGACAAGCAUUUAAAAGAAAAUGGCUUUCAACAGACAGAAAUUUUCAACAAACUAUUCAGCUGUAACUCGACUCACACAGAAACAGCAAAUAAAUGAGGCCAAGAUACAUGUCAUACUGAGUCUGCAUUAGCUGGAAGGUUUGGAAAUAAUUAAGAGCAAAACUGUUAAUGCUCCAUUUAAAUAGCUGCUGCCUAUCUGUCCAGUAUGAAAGCUCAAUCUGUUGUGUUCAAUCAGCUUUCAGCUGCUACUUGCCAGCAGCUUAAUUCCCCAGUCUUGUCUCUGUGCUGCGCUUGUGCAUUCCGCUACCUGCUAAGUUAAACCCUGCUGUCCUGAUCCAGCAUGGAGAUUUCUAGUUCUAUGGAAACUAUCCACAGUGGUUCAGACCUGUAAACGGUGCUGAGUAUCCAUACAAACUGACUGAUUUCAGCCCCAUAUGGGUGAAAAGAGAAGUCGGCAGCUACGUACACGAUCAGCACUGUGUUCAGCCCUACCAGUCAGUGUGCAUUUAUGCAGCUUUGACAAGAUGUUGAUCUGCAAUAGUUCCACAUUAGGUCUUCUUUUUAUAAGUGAGGAAACUGGCAAUGCAGAGUUAUUAACCAAAGCCACUAUUAACUAUUAGCACACGUCAGAUGGUAAUAAAUCUCAGUUCUCCUAAAUCUCUUUGUAUUUUAUGAUCAAUAUACUGACUAAUUGUAUUUAUAUUGCAUAAGGAUUUGAGAAUCAUCAACUAGACCCCUUAAUGCCGAGUGUGUGCAAAUUGUGAAUCAGUUCUAAGAAGGACUCUGCUGAGGUCUGGUAGUUACAGAGCUCUAUGGGUAGUGCUAGAAAUACAUUGUCAUGAAAUGUGCUUCAGGUUGAGAAACUUUCUGAGCCUCAAAGCUGGACCACUAGCUUUUUUCCUCAGAAAUACAUACUAAAAAUGGCAAAGUUCAUUGCACUGUCAUUUGCAAGGAACUAAAGAGUAAUUCGUUGACCUUUGCAGAUUAGGUAAUGCAUAGUGUCAUAAGGAAGUGAUAUUUGAGUAACAAACAGCAAAUGUACACAAUUAUCUUUCAUUGACCUCUCAAUGGAGGCGAUCAGGAUUUCCUGAUAGUAACCUGUUCAGUGUUCUUGGCACCUUCAAUAUAAGUUUGCUGUGGUCUGAGUGCACGUUAGUUCUCUAACCAUGUCAGGGGAUGCUUAGCACACAUUGCCUGCCUGUAUUUUUUGAAAGAGUACGUAUGCUGGAAAGAAGGAGAAGGAAUGGGUGUGUGUAUGGAAAACUGAAGGCUCUGUGCUCUGCUCUCAGCUUUCACAGUUCCUGAAUCUCUGUGCCUCAGUUUUCACUGAAUUAAAUGAAACUGAAUUGUCUGCGUAAUACAUUGUGAAACUUACUUCCACUUACAGUGCUUUGAGAUCAUGAACAGUAGCAGAGCAACGAAGAGCCACGUUCUGCUGCUGCUGGAGAAUAUCUGAGCUACUGAAAGAGGACACGAGUGACAAUGAAUCUUUUAAUCAGUAGCAUAAUGCAGAAUUAGAAUGCAAUAAAAGUUAAAUAUGGUGCUUUUGCUUCUAUAAUAACUUAAUAACUCAAAGGAUUCUUCAAAAAUAGUCCAGGAAAAAAAAUAUGGGAAACUUUUUGAUUCCUUCUGGAGAACUAAAUAGUCUGUUCAAGUGCAAAUGAAUACGCCACAUCCUUAUGUAUGUGUUCUGAAUGAAGGUGAAUUAGCAGUUCUCCUUCUCCACUCUUUCUUCCAUUUUUCUAACUACAUGAGGAUUAUUUUCAGAUUCAUGUGUUGGUCUUUCUUUAUGUGGCUUAUUGGCCACACUCCUACCAAAGAGAUGUUAUAAAAUUACUUAUUUUAUCUGGAAAUUCUUGGUACAGCAUUAUACAUCUUUACUUUUUUAAAUUAAAUCAGUGAAAGCUUUUCCUGUUCAUCACUUUUAAUGCUUGAGCUCAGAACUGUCUGGCAGAUGAAGCAGAAUAAAUAAAGAAAGAAAUUGGAGCAAUGCAGACCCCAUGGACAAGAGAAUCACUUUACCUCAGGACACUGAGAUAAUUUAUCUGGGUGGCUUAGAAAAAGUGCUAGAUAAGACUGAAGUAUGGAGAGGGUGAGCAAGUCCAGGCUCAGCCUUUUGGAUUAUCAAGAAACAAUUAAAUCCAGCAACUGGCAUCUGAAUAUGUUAAUGUUGUAGGUUCUGACAUGGAACCAGGAAAGUGAAUUUGUAAGGCAGAACAUACAACAGAGAUAAACGCAGUUCUACAUAUAAUAUGUACGUUUUAUGUAUCCAACAUCUUUGCCAAAAUAUGAGUAAUUUGCAAGCACACUAAAGGUAGAAAAUGCCAGAAUAAAGGCUGUCUUUCCAUGUAUAUGCCCCAACAUAAUCUUUAAUUAUGUGAUUCUGGGCUUCAUUUUCUGACCCAAGAUUUUCUAAUUUCAGCACGUGUUUGAAGUGUUUUGUAGUCCUAAUAUUUUCUCUCUUAAAUAAAGACUGAAAUAUAUACCUGAAAUGAAAACUGAAAUAUAUACCUGGGAUAUAUUUCCCCAGGUUUUCAAAAAGGCAUUUGAAAGUCACAGUAUUCCAUCCUAUAACAUCCUCAUGGGUCAUCAGCACAUUGUAACCUUUAUCUGUCAUCACAGAAGUCUUUGGGGCAGCUGUAACUGAUGGUGUGAUGGUGAAGUUUGUGCAGUGAUGAGUGUCAGAUAGGAGGACUGUAAGGUAAAGCAGCACCUGUGCAGAGUUUUAAAUAAGUUAUUUAUUAUUAUUGCUCUCUUCCUCUUCUAUUUGUUAAUGGCCCCUAUUGUGCAACCUAUAUAUCUUGCCUAGAUAGGAGUCACAUGAACUUCACUGACCUGAUUCUGUGCUGCCUUGUACGACAUGCGUGGUCACUUCUACUCUAGCAAACUAAAUUUAAAAUACCAAUUUCUAAUUUGCUAAUAUUUACAAACCACUUUGUUUAUGCAGCUGUGAUGUGUAGCACUGAAUGCACGCAAACACCAUGCAAACCCAGGGCUCAUCCAGAGAGAGAUAUACUUGGAAGUGAUUUUUUUCACCACAGUUAUAAAUCAGAGUAGUUGUUACUAAUUAAAGUCAGGAUUACAUACCUGGUAUUGAAACUGCAAAUUGGAAGUUCUCUCUAAGACCUGGAAACAUCAACGGGCUGGCUUCCAUAAAUAAUACCAGAAGUUAAACAGUGGUUUCACAGUGUCUAGAUCAUAGUAUAAAUAAGAAAAAGAAAGCAGAAAAAUCCAGGAAAUCCUUAGUUAACAAAUGUUUUGUUUUAAAAAUGAUAUGCUUUUCUUGAGCUCUGAGAACCAGCUCCUCAGUAGACAAUGACUCGCUCCGGGUGUUUGGACGGUUCACUCUCAGGCUAUUCAGGGUCAGCCCAAAAGCUCACAGACCUGGCGAAAGGUAAGAAACCUAAGAAAUUCUCAGCUAACAGACCAAGCUUGUAUCAAAAACUCUAAAAUGCCACAAGCUGAUACCAAAUAUUACGACAUUUGGCAGCCUUAGGAGAUUGGAUUAGUGUGGUAUUUUGAACUGAAUAAUCCCAAAGGAUGUUCUAGGGCCAAAUUCAGCCCGGACAUAACCAUAUCAAUUUUAGUCUAUCUGCACCCACUACGAUUUGGUCCUUUUUUUUUUUUUUUGGUGACCAAAAUGCAACGCUGAGAUAUAAACUGAUGUCUCAGUGAAAUUAUCACCGUAAUUUUAAAAGCCAGUUAUUUCAGCUAAAAACAGCUACUAUUUCAGAUAACAGAGUUUCUGCUGUGUUCAUUGUUGGCUUCUAGAGUAAAGUGAGUUGCUCGGAAGCAAAAGGGAGGUAAAUGGGAAUGACUUUGAUAAAGUUUUUUUCACUUAGUAUGCUGAUAGUGCUGGUUCUACGUCUCUGUUAUCCUCAGUCCACCCCAUUCUAAAUUCAGGUCCUGUUUAGGUCACAAGCUUUCCCAUUCUGUCCAAAGCAUCGUCUCUGUCUGGUAUUUAUGACAUAGUCCAGUGGACUGAAUGACCUGUGAGCGGGCCAAGUGCCAGAGGAAAACAUGCUCAGGCUGAAGGCAGCCAAGAAAUGGCCGGACAGUCGCUGGGAAGCUAUGAGGGCUUUUGUCCCAUUUUUGCUUUGUUUGUUUCUUUUUGUAUCUAUGUGAAUUUUGAAAACCAGAAACUCUAGUCAGGGCAAUACACAACUUGGCUAUGUGAAGGUUUGUAUAUUCUGGUCAGCUCACUCCAUAGGAUGUUAACUAACGAUACGACUUGUUUACUAUGUUAUUGUUCAGUGUUUAGGUUUAUUAUUUCUAUGUUUGCAUUACAUACACAUGAGUAACGGCGUCUUGCUUUCGACCGAAAGGUAACCCUGGCUGCCAAGCAAGUUCAGGAAACUUGGUGCUUGCACAGAGCUGACAUAAAAGCGUGGCAGUGGGAAACCAUUCCAUAUCAAAGGGAAGGGUUUUCCUUAUCCUGUCUCAGAGCAGUAGCGAGGCAUUUCAGCAGCCAUUACAAUAAUUUCUGUAUCUCGGGUGGCUCAGAGUUGCUGUAGCAACCUUUUGCUAGAUAGGAAUUUGGCUGGUGAAGCCCCACAGGAAUCUGCUCCCACUCUUGACUAACCUCUCACAUCACCCGUCUCAACUGCCAGGGAGAAACUCCAGCUGUGAGUCAGGCAGGGUGAGGGACCUCUUUCCACAGGUUCCUCAAAUGCCCUUCCCUCAAUUACCAGGAUCAGAUGUUUUUUGGCAAUUUUCCGUGGACGCGGAGCUUGGUCUGAACCCAGUUUGUAAAACGGCCAUAGUAAAUUUUGUGUCCUCAAACAAGCCCUUAUUCAUGAGCUUGCAGAUACAGAAACUGAACAUGCAAAAGCAGGGAGAGCAGUUUUAUAGACCAGUGUGGGAAGUUUGACUGGGAGGCAACAGUAGUUCUGGUGACACAAAAGAAGUAUUGUAAAGUCACUGAGGGGAUCAGGCAGAUGGGAACAGACUUGAGUAGGAAGGAAUACAGACAAGGUCCCCAAAGCCUGUUACUUAGAUUUGGAUUAAAAAAUGAAGUGUGAAGUUGGUCAGAGCGUGAGGGGAUGCAUCACUGCUAAACCAAUUCCUUCAAAAGUGUGAAGAAGUAAUGAAAGACAGUUUUUUGGCCUUCCAAGCUGCUACGUGGUUCAGAGCAAUAUUUGGGAGAUUUUAUUUAUAGAUCAUAUUGCCCAAUGGUUGCUUACAGAGAGUAGACAGUAAUUUUGGACUACUGGAGUUUAUUUCUAAUUCUACAGGUGAUUGGCUUUGUCAAAUUACAGGACCCUGUGUGUAAUGCCUAGAAAACAGCAGGUAUCGUUAUAAUUAAAUGCUUCAUGCUGCUUUCAGUCCCUCUAUUUUCCACCAUCUUAUGGGUCAGAGGGCAGGAGAGGGGAACCAAGUGCAGUGCUGUGAGACCGGCCUGUGAGAUUUCAGAUAGCCAGCUACAAAAGCUACAGCCAUGUCUUGAAAAGGCCCAGUCAAGCAGGCACACUCAGAGCACAGCUGUCAGAUAAGACUGGGUCUUCCUAGGACUGUAUGCUGCCUUCUGCUGUAACUGUUGGAGGAGGAGGAGGUGGCAUAAAUAUUGUUUUCCUUUUAUAUAAUAUGAUUUGGAAACAGCACACAUAGGGCCAGUUCUUUCCCUGGUUCCUAGUCCCUCAGCCCAGGUCUGCUUUAAUGACUCCUUAACAGCCUGUGGUGACUAAAAUACAGCCAUGGAGCAGGAUGAAAUAGACUAUACAUCUAUCAGGUAAAUAAAUCAAUUCUUAAUGCAAGAUUCAACUAUUGCAGAGAUUCUUGUUGUCCACACAGGUCAGUAAAUACAAUAAACUGUUAAAAAAUAGCUACAUUUUGAUUUGUGCAUGCAAUGAUUCUUUUUCACUUCAAAACUUCAAUACGAAUUCCAGAAAGCUACAAACAAACACAGUUCAGUACAGCCUAAAACACCACUUAAUUCUGUAAAAGAAAAAAAAGAAAUAGCACUACUGACAGGUUUGUUGGGCUGCAGGCAGAUGUUAGGCUUCAGAAAGUGGGCCCAUGUAUGGUUACAGUCACUUAAUGUGUCACUGAUUGGCAGUAGGAAGGGCGAGUGGGCUGUCUGAGCUCUGUGCAAUGGACCGUUGCCCUAGUUAGACUUAUUCUAAAUACUCAACAUUAUGGGGUAUUUCACAUAAUCGGGUUUACAGCCUUGGCUCUGUUUCAGGAGUGGGGGCUAAGUUUUUAGUGUAUAUUUUUAAAAAGAGCAUCCCGUUCUUAGGAAUCUAUUCCCAGCUAAAGCACACAAGCUCUGGAAAGGUCAGAGAGAGGCAUCUCUAGCUUUGAUAAAUAAACAAAUCUCUUCUCUGCGGCUGGGAUGUUGUAUUAAUAGCAGUAGAUUUGGUUUCGCAUUGUGGAGCUCCUCCUGUUUCAUUGCUAUUGAAGAUAAGAGAACACAAAAUGUUCUGUCACUCUCCCCAUGAGAAAACAAGCCAACAGGCAGAGGCUAUUAUGUUUUAAGAUAUCACCGAGGCAAAGACUUGGAGAAAGCAAACACUCAGGUUUAUAUUCAGUAGCUACUGGAUACCAUAGCUGGCACAUCAGUGACUCAACGUUAUUUAAUGUCUUACAUGAAAGAGUUUUGCCAGACAAAAUCACUGUAGUAGAAAUAACCUGAAAAUAAGGGUUGAGCCUUGGGCAGAUGGAAGUGUGGAUUUUACACUUUCACUUGUUUCUUAGCAAUUCAGCUGCAGUAAAAAGUAACAGCUCUUUCCUGCUUCUUAACCUAUUCCCCAUUCUGAUGCAAUCUGUUUCACUUUAGUUUGCAAUCUGCAGUUAUUCAGACCUCCAUGACAAUAUACUUGGACUGCAAAAGUUUCUCCAAAAGACUCUAAUUUGACAGUAAGCGUGUGUGAAAUAAAUCAGCUGAGCUACACCUUACGGCUUCUCCACACGCAUUAUUUAUGAAUAAUCAAUUCUAAAAUUCCUCAUGUGGAAUGCUUUAGUUUGGAAUGUGCACUUCUGAAUGCCAGGCAGAUUUAGCUUAUGGUGGUGGAUGAGAAGCAUGAUGGGAAGGAAUGUAGAGUUUAUCCUUAAUUAGCUAUCAUACAUGGCACAUCCAAUUCCCACCCAGCAGCCUACUACGUUAGCUAAUACAUGCUUAAAGCAUACCUCUCAUCCAAAGGGCCAUCUUUUCUGCAGACCAGGCAUCAGUUCAGACAGAAGACAGCCUUCUUUUCUGCAAAUAAGCAUCUUCUGUUGGAGAGCAGAUUGUGAGAGAUGAGUAAAAAUAAACACCAACUGAAUCAGAUAAUUCUCCGAGCGGUUGUUCUCCUUGUCCUUGCAAUGUCACCAGUUCCAGAUUUAUUUCCUUCCCUGAUGCUCAGGUAGAGAAUCUGUUGGGAGGGAGUUCUUCCCGCAGGCAGUCGGCAUUUUGUGAAGCUUCACCUCUACAUGGGAGACAUAAACCAGCCAAAUGACUCAACUGAAAGAAAAAAAAAGAGUUGCAUGCAGUGAGUAUCCUUGUGGGAUAUUUAUACUGCAAGGAAACAAAACUAUUGGUGAAGGCAAAGACACACAACUCACUGAGACUGUCCUCUCCCCAGUGCCACUGUGAGCCAUCUAGAAUGCAACUGUCAGAACGCAGCCUGCUUGGGUCCAAAGGUUCCUGUCCCCUUUUUUUCUGACUUUCAUGGGAAGAAGAGCGUCUCAGUGUAAGUGCAGAUGUUACAUACAUGUCAGUGUUCAUAAGGGAAUGUCAUUUCCAUCUGCAGUACUCGUCGUGUUUUACAAGAAGCAUUACUCAUUUCUUUUAGAUCAGUACAUAUGCAGGUUACUCUUACAGAAUGCCCAAGAAACUGGGCAGAGGCAAUGGACUUCGAUGACUACAGAUGUCUUAAAAAUGAUUGUAAAUGUUCAGAGAAAGUAACAGUUUUUGUAGUUUGGAGGAAAAAAAAACGUUAAUUGUUCCAUAUUGUGGCAUCCUUGUCGUUAGAGAACAAACUCGAAUUUAAUUCUGCCAUCACAGGAAUUUUGGCUGAGUUAAAUGUGAAAAAGGGUUUCAAUUCUGAGCAUGAAAUUUCUUUUCUCUGUGAUUUUGGAUACAACAUAUGCCACAGAAAUGAGGGAAAAAAAACAACCUGAUGUUAGCGUGAGGGCCUUCAGAUCAUUCCAAAGGAUCCUAUGCAUCUCAGGUUUAACACAGGUAGGUUUUGAAAGGGGUGAGUUGUAUUUGUACCUGGUAUCAAUAAGGCUUUAUCUUUCAAGGGGAUUUAAUGGUCAUUAGAGCUGUGUUGUUAAUCAGAUAAUCCAAAUCAAAUUGUUGCACUUAUUUUAAAUUUAAUUACAUCAUAAGCAACUGGAUUUGAAAUAUCUAUUUUUGCUUUCAUAUAUGUUGUUAAGAAAAAUUAAAGCCAUAUGUAACUUGCUACAUUUACCUACUGACCAUUGGAGAAGAAAUGCUAGAAACACAGUGAUUUGAACUGUUCUAAGAAUAUGAUGUCCUCAGAAUGGCUUGUGUUGAAGGGACCCCAAGGAUCAUCACACAAAAGGUAUUAGACGUAUUAUUAGACAUAGUGUCAUUAGAAUACAUUUCUUAAAAGGUAUCAGACAUCAAAUACUUAAUAUGUGAGAAUAAUACAGACACGUAUUAUAACUCCAGUAUUGAUCCAGUUGUUAGUCUUCCUAAAAACCGAAUCAUCUAAAUAAUAUUUUUGCAGCUUAACUUUUUAAGUACUGAUCAAGUACAAUUCAAGACUGAUAUUACUGACUUCAAUCUAUUUGAACGGCACCUGCAAGCUGUGGUGGCAGCCAACAGACCCCCAUUAAGUAAGCAAUAAUAUAAUUGUUCUGCUUGACAAGGUCAUAAUGUGAUUUCUGGUUCUAUAUUCACAGAUUAAGGCUAUUCCAAGAAGACACAUAUUCAACAUCACCAUUUUACUAUAGCAGAUCUUCUUAAAAUGUCUCUUUUCUUUCAAGAAUGAAGCCUGUUCUCUGAGUUGCAGCUGGAGAAUGAGGGCAGCUGAGGCCACUCCAGAUCUCAGGAGAUCAAUAGUGUUACAGCUGAUGAUCUAAUUACGGAUUAUUUGGGUCAGACUCUGUUCUCCUAGGUGUGACUUGGUUGACUUAGAAAAGGUUAAUUCAUUCAUUCUGUAGGGGUUAUAGCAUAAAUGAAUUAUAAUUGUUAUCCUGUUACUCAUUAUAGAAGCCUAAUAUUCCCUAUAAGCAGAUGUUCUGAUUUUAUAGCAUUUUUUUAAUAAACAAUUAUACAUAUCUUAAAGAAAAAUGCUGUUAACAAAGCUUCCUUUACACUGUGCAUCCAUCAAUCUUGCAAAGGUUUGUAUGAAAAACAGGCCAUUGUAGUGCGUAUCAUUCACUAUGUCAUACCUUAAGCUGGCCAUAUAACUGAUAUGUAAUGAAGCAGCUGUGCUCUUACAGCUAUUCGUGGCUAUAAACUGGAUAACAGAGUUAAUAAUCAUCCUUUACCAUGAGACUGGUACAGCCUGACUGUGCAGACCCACAAGUAGUGCUAGCAGAAUGGGAGAAAUGUUUUCACAAUAAUUACAAACUGAAUUAGACAAAAGUGCUACACAGAAGGGCAGACCCACCUCUUUCAGGCUACCUGUUGUUUCUUUCCCAACUAUUCAGCAACGUGUAUUGCUGUAUUCCUGUCUCAUCUAAUCUAUCAAAUCUAACUAUCUAUUCUUUAACUGAUCCCACUCAUCUUAAUGGAGACCUUUCUCAUUCAUUGACAACAACUGCAGUAAUAAUUAAUCUUUAAAGAAAUACACAAACAGCAUCAGCCUGCAUACCGUAUCAUACAGGUACCUUUGUGGACUUGUGUUUCCAUGAUGAGAGGCUGCAAACAACCUUUGAAAAAAGGGUUUCAGAUGGGUUAGUUCUCCAGAACUCUUAUUUUUCAUGCUGGAAAAUAACAUCUUGUCAAUGGAACGUGCCUUUUGAUGCCUCUGCUUCUGACUUACAAGCUGGGAGAUACUGCUGCUGGCGCUGUCUAAUGGUGGGGUUUGUUGUGCAUGGCGUGCAUGUGCGUCCAGUUCUUCUUUUGCAACAGUGAUUUGUGAAGUUUGAUUUACUGUAUGCCUUGUAGAGGCUAAUUGUAAUGCAUGGAAUAAUACUUUCCAAGUAAUACUUUCCUUAAACAACCAACUUCUCACUACUGUUGUAUUGGAGGAAUCCUGUUUUUGAAGUUCUGUCCGAAGCUCUGCGCCGUCUUUACAAUGCACUGCAGCUGAAGAAGCCCGCUCUGAUAUUUGUUGACCUUCUUUUAGUUUCCAGGUGCCAAAUAUUGCAGGAUCCAAUUUCCUGGAAACCUCAUUCUCAGCGUAUUCAGGGAGCAACCACAGUAUGUGCAGUGAGAGGGCGGGCUUAGCCCAUGGUUACUUACUGUGUACUUUAUCUCUGUCUGAUAGUCACCCUCAACUUAAUUAGCUGGUGUUGUGUUUGGUUAUUCAGUAUUUAUGCAUCACUGAAACAAUAACAUUGCAACCCACGCUAUUUGUUGAAUGCCUUUCAUAAAAACCCUGUGUACUCAUAUGGAUUGUUUCAAAGAUAAAUUGUGCCAGCACCGUGUAUUUGCAGGUAAAGUUUGGCUCUGAUGCAGCUGCUGUAUCAAAGAAAUAUGCCCUUAUUAUUAAACUCCAGUAUCCACACCUUUCCUUGGAGAAUAUAAUGCAGCACUGAGCCUGCUGUGAAGAGUACAUCCCAUUCCAAUGGAAUUACACAGUAAUAAGCUGAAUAUCCAGUAAGUAAGGGGAACAUUUCCAUCAAAGCUAUUUGGGUUCUUUUGUGUUGUUUGUUUGAAGCAUUUCUUUUUUCCUUCCAGAAAGUAUAAGUUUAGUUUGGAAAGGGUUAAUUUUGCUUUUGAUUUUUUCUUUUGUGAAAACUCUGAUUUUUCAGAUCUCUUCAAGAAAUGAUAUGAACGUUUAAUUCCUUUGUGUUGUUGAUGCUGAAUAUUUUUCAUGGGGAAAACAUGUUCAUGUUCCCCCAUAGUUUACACUUGUAGCAACAAAAGUUCAAUUUUUAAAGCCAAACUUAUCAGAAUAAAUAGGAUCUAUCACCAUUGAGUGGAUUAUUCAUUAACGGAGGUGACCCUGGAUUUGGUCUCACAUAUAAAAGCACAAUUUAGUGCUCCAGUGCUAAAUCCACUGCCUGUGUAUAGAGAAGAUCUAAUUCCAACUGAUUCCAACACAGCGCUGUGCUGAGGAGUUUCCCAAGCAAGCAGGAGCAGCAGCUUUGACCACAGCUGGCCAGGACCAUGAACCAGGUGCACAAACUCUUUUGUUCCUUACCAUGUUUAAAGCCAGACAGCUUUUCUUCAUGUGCUUUCACAGUCACGUCUCUUUACGUUUUUACUGGAACACUGAAUAUUAAAAAUCUCUUCAUUUCCUUUAAAUGUUUAAGGUGUUACCUGUUGGGUUUUUUUUCUGCUUUUUCAGCUACACUCCAAAGUAGAGACUUGUAAGAGGCUGAAAAUGGGAGCUGGACACGUACAGAUAAGUUACCCUAAAAUUAUGUCUGCUGCUAUAUAAUGAAGAGAUGUAAUCUCUGUUGUUUCUCUCUUGGACUGCUUCUCCUGAUAUUUCUCUCUGUGACUGUAAGAAGAUCUUUGGGUAUCAAGAAGUCUCAUAUUCAGUCUGACCAGCUCCAUGAGCACAGCAAAGGGAGAUGUGACGCUUCUAAUGUUUUCAAACUCCAUGUGAAAAUUUAAUUAAAAGCUCCUUCAGAAAAAUGA